rnacentral:tRNA from 1 species
AGUUCCGUGGUGUAGCACUCAGCACUCAAAACUCUGAAUUUUGCGACAGGAAUUCAAAUCUUCCCGGGACCC